rnacentral:rRNA from 1 species
CCGGGGACCAGGGUUCUUUUGAAUCCGAAGCUGCUGAUACCAAGCUCCCAGGAAAAGCCUCUAAGCUUCAGUUGCAUGGGACCGUACCGUAAUCGGACACACGUGGGCAGGAUGAAAAUUCUAGGCGCUUGAGAGAACUCAGGAGAAGGAACUCGGCAAAUUGACACCGUAACUUCGGAAGAAGGUGUGCCCUGGUAGGUUGUAGCCGUACAGGCGAAGGCCGAAGGGGUUGCAAAAAAUCGGUGGCUGCGACUGUUUAAUAAAAACACAGCACUCUGCAAACACGAUGAGUGGACGUAUAGGGUGUGACGCCUGCCCGGUGCCGGAAGGUUAAAUGAUGGGGUGCAAGCUCUUGAUUGAAGCCCCGGUAAACGGCGGCCGUAACGAUAACGGUCCUAAGGUAGCGAAAUUCCUUGUCGGGUAAGUUCCGACCUGCACGAAUGGCGUAACGAUGGCCACACUGUCUCCUCCUGAGACUCAGCGAAGUUGAAAUGUUUGUGAUGAUGCAAUCUACCCGCGGCUAGACGGAAAGACCCCGUGCACCUUUACUGUAGCUUUGCAUUGGACUGUGAUGGGAUCUGUGUAGGAUAGGUGGGAGGCUUUGAAGUGGGGGCGCUAGCCCUCAUGGAGCCGUCGUUGAAAUACCACCCUGAUGUCAUUGCGGUUCUAACCUUGGCCCCUUAGCGGGGUUGGGGACAGUGCAUGGUAGGCAGUUUGACUGGGGCGGUCUCCUCCCAAAGAGUAACGGAGGAGCUCGAAGGUACGCUAGGUACGGUCGGACAUCGUGCUGAUAGUGCAAUGGCACAAGCGUGCUUGACUGCGAGACUGACAAGUCGAGCAGGUGCGAAAGCAGGACAUAGUGAUCCGGUGGUUCUGAAUGGAAGGGCCAUCGCUCAACGGAUAAAAGGUACGCCGGGGAUAACAGGCUGAUUCCUCCCAAGAGUUCAUAUCGACGGGGGAGUUUGGCACCUCGAUGUCGGCUCAUCACAUCCUGGGGCUGUAGCCGGUCCCAAGGGUAUGGCUGUUCGCCAUUUAAAGUGGUACGUGAGCUGGGUUUAAAACGUCGUGAGACAGUUUGGUCCCUAUCUGCCGUGGGCGUUGGACGUUUGAGGGGGGCUGCUCCUAGUACGAGAGGACCGGAGUGGACGCACCUCUGGUGUACCGGUUAUCACGCCAGUGGUAUUGCCGGGUAGCUAAGUGCGGAAGAGAUAAGCGCUGAAAGCAUCUAAGCGCGAAACUUGCCUCGAGAUGAGACGUCCCGUGAUGUAAGUCACCUAAAGGGUCGCGGUAGACCACCGCGUUGAUAGGUCGGGUGUGGAAGCGCAGUAAUGCGUUAAGCUAACCGAUACUAAUUGCCCGUGCGGCUUGAUCCU